rnacentral:rRNA from 1 species
UACAGAGGUCUCAAGCGUUGUUCGGAUUCAUUGGGCGUAAAGGGCGCGUAGGCGGCGGGGUAAGUCGGGUGUGAAAUCUCAGAGCUCAACUCUGAAACUGCACUCGAUACUGCUCUGCUUGAGGACUGGAGAGGAGACUGGAAUUCACGGUGUAGCAGUGAAAUGCGUAGAUAUCGUGAGGAAGACCAGUGGCGAAGGCGGGUCUCUGGACAGUUCCUGACGCUGAGGCACGAAAGCGUGGGGAGCAAACAGG